rnacentral:rRNA from 1 species
CAAUGGGCGCAAGCCUGAUGCAGCGACGCCGCGUGAGGGAUGACGGCCUUCGGGUUGUAAACCUCUUUCACCAGGGACGAAGCGUGAGUGACGGUACCUGGAGAAGAAGCACCGGCCAACUACGUGCCAGCAGCCGCGGUAAUACGUAGGGUGCGAGCGUUGUCCGGAAUUACUGGGCGUAAAGAGCUCGUAGGCGGUUUGUCGCGUCGUCUGUGAAAUUCUGCAACUCAAUUGCAGGCGUGCAGGCGAUACGGGCAGACUUGAGUACUACAGGGGAGACUGGAAUUCCUGGUGUAGCGGUGAAAUGCGCAGAUAUCAGGAGGAACACCGGUGGCGAAGGCGGGUCUCUGGGUAGUAACUGACGCUGAGGAGCGAAAGCGUGGGUAGCGAACAGGAUUAGAUACCCUGGUAGUCCACGCCGUAAACGGUGGGUACUAGGUGUGGGUUCCUUUUCACGGGAUCCGUGCCGUAGCUAACGCAUUAAGUACCCCGCCUGGG